GGGGCUAUGGCGCAGUUGGUAGCGCGCAAUCUUAGCAUUCGCUUCAGAGCUUGCGUGGUUGAGGUCUCGGGUUCGACUCCUGAUGGCUCCA